CAAGCGUCCGAGUGAACGCUGCUGGUCUCGGAGAACAUGGUCACUUCGGGGGCCCGGUUUCUUGUACUGUAAUUCUAGAAUGAAUGCUCGAUCGUAGUGUUUGAACGUGCCACAUGGGGAAUCGCUAUGGCGACAGUGGAUAGGUAGGGUCCUUUGGCAUCGCUCAACGUGCAGCAGCCACCGGCAGAAGCUGUAGCGGGAAGAAGAACGAACGGAGUUCACUCGGCUAAUGUAGCUUGAUCGUCCUGCAUUCUUAGUAACUAUCAGUUCACCGGGACACUGGUAUUUUUUUAUAUGUAUGUUAUACUCCCUCCGUUUUAGUUUAUAAGUUCGGCACGUAUAUCUAGAUCGUCAAUUUGAUCAACUUAAUAAGAGACAUAUAUUACAAAAAAUAUAUCAUUGAAAACUUUAGAUGUUCUAUUUUUUAAUGAUAUAAUUUUU
rnacentral:lncRNA from 1 species